UGAGGAAUUUUGCGCAAUGGCCGCAAGGCUGACGCAGCAACGCCGCGUGGGUGAAGAAGGCCUUCGGGUCGUAAAGCCCUGUCAGGUGGGAAGAACACCAUGGGGACGAACAAGCUUCACGGCUGACGGUACCACCAGAGGAAGCACCGGCUAACUCCGUGCCAGCAGCCGCGGUAAUACGGAGGGUGCGAGCGUUAUUCGGAAUUACUGGGCGUAAAGCGCGUGCAGGCGGUUUGGCAAGUCUGAUGUGAAAGCCCCGGGCUUAACCUGGGAAGUGCAUUGGAAACUGCCGGACUUGAGUACUGGAGAGGAAGGGGGAAUUCCCGGUGUAGAGAUGAAAUUCGUAGAGAUCGGGAGGAAUACCAGUGGCGAAAGCGCCCGUCGGGAAGGUGACUGACGGUGAGACGCAAAAGCGUGAGGAGCAAACA
rnacentral:rRNA from 1 species